AUCCCUGUAGCUCAGUUGGUAGAGCAUGGUGUUUGCAACACCAGGGUUGUGGGUUCAAUUCCCAUGGGGGGCC
rfam:Salmo salar isolate Sally breed double haploid chromosome ssa10, whole genome shotgun sequence.